UUAACAGGAUUAGAUACCCUGGUAGUCCACGCCGUAAACGUUGGGAACUAGAUGUGGGGGCCAUUCCACGGCUUCCGUGUCGCAGCUAACGCAUUAAGUUCCCCGCCUGGGGAGUACGGCCGCAAGGCUAAAACUCAAAGGAAUUGACGGGGGCCCGCACAAGCGGCGGAGCAUGCGGAUUAAUUCGAUGCAACGCGAAGAACCUUACCAAGGCUUGACAUAUACGAGAACGCUGCAGAAAUGUAGAACUCUUUGGACACUCGUAUACAGGUGGUGCAUGGUUGUCGUCAGCUCGUGUCGUGAGAUGUUGGGUUAAGUCCCGCAACGAGCGCAACCCUCGUUCUAUGUUGCCAGCACGUUAUGGUGGGAACUCAUAGGAGACUGCCGGGGUCAACUCGGAGGAAGGUGGGGAUGACGUCAAAUCAUCAUGCCCCUUAUGUCUUGGGCUUCACGCAUGCUACAAUGGCCGGUACAAAGGGCUGCAAUACCGCAAGGUGGAGCGAAUCCCAAAAAGCCGGUCUCAGUUCGGAUUGAGGUCUGCAACUCGACCUCAUGAAGUCGGAGUCGCUAGUAAUCGUGGAUCAGCAACGCCACGGUGAAUACGUUCCCGGGCCUUGUACACACCGCCCGUCAAGUCAUGAAAGUCGGUAACACCCGAAGCCAGUGGCCCAACCGCAAGGAGGGAGCUGUCGAAGGUGGGAUCGGUGAUUAGGACUAAGUCGUAACAAGGUAACCAA
rnacentral:rRNA from 1 species